AUUUCGAUUUGGUUUCGGACGUACUACAGAGACCACAAGUGUCACCUGGUUCGGUUCUUGACGCAUUUCGAUCAACAUGUUCAUUCGAAAUACCCGAAGGCAUUGAAAACUCGAAAACAGACUACAAGUAGUCAGUUCACGGGACACAAAGCGUUUCCGCUCUGUUGUCAAGCAGUCACUUGGUUUGACCCAAGCGAUCGCAGGACAGAAAGUGUGGUAAUGAUCCUUCCGCAGGUUCACCUACGGAAA
rnacentral:misc_RNA from 1 species